rnacentral:rRNA from 1 species
UGCGAGAACUAAUGUGAAUUGCAGGACACAUUGAUCAUCGACACUUCGAACG